GCUGAAGAACGUAGCGAAAUGCGAUAAGUAAUGUGAAUUGCAGAAUUCAGUGAAUCAUCGAAUCUUUGAACGCACCUUGCGCCCUUUGGCCAUUCCGAAGGGCAUGCCUGUUUGAGUAUCAUGAACACCUCAACUCUCAUGGCUUGCCAUGAUGAGCUUGGACUUUGGGGGUCUUGCUGGCCUGUGGUCAGCUCCUCUCAAAUGAAUUAGCUUUCCAGUGUUUGGUUGGCAUCACAGGUGUGAUAACUAUCUACGCUUGUGGUUUCCACCAGGUAACCUUCAGUAACAUGGGGGUUUGCUGGAGCUCAUAAAUGUCUCUCCUCAGUGGGGACAGCUCUUUGAACGUUUGAUCUCAAAUCAGGUAGGACUACCCGCUGAACUUAAGCAUAUCAAUAAGCGGAGGA
rnacentral:misc_RNA from 1 species